GAUUAUUUAGUUUAAUUAAAACUAGUGUUUUGAAAACACUGAAUAAGUAAAUAUACUUAGUAAUUA
rnacentral:tRNA from 1 species